GACGAGGAGCUUGCUCCUCUGACGUUAGCGGCGGACGGGUGAGUAACACGUGGAUAACCUACCUAUAAGACUGGGAUAACUUCGGGAAACCGGAGCUAAUACCGGAUAAUAUAUUGAACCGCAUGGUUCAAUAGUGAAAGACGGUUUUGCUGUCACUUAUAGAUGGAUCCGCGCCGCAUUAGCUAGUUGGUAAGGUAACGGCUUACCAAGGCAACGAUGCGUAGCCGACCUGAGAGGGUGAUCGGCCACACUGGAACUGAGACACGGUCCAGACUCCUACGGGAGGCAGCAGUAGGGAAUCUUCCGCAAUGGGCGAAAGCCUGACGGAGCAACGCCGCGUGAGUGAUGAAGGUCUUCGGAUCGUAAAACUCUGUUAUUAGGGAAGAACAAAUGUGUAAGUAACUAUGCACGUCUUGACGGUACCUAAUCAGAAAGCCACGGCUAACUACGUGCCAGCAGCCGCGGUAAUACGUAGGUGGCAAGCGUUAUCCGGAAUUAUUGGGCGUAAAGCGCGCGUAGGCGGUUUUUUAAGUCUGAUGUGAAAGCCCACGGCUCAACCGUGGAGGGUCAUUGGAAACUGUAAAACUUGAGUGCAGAAGAGGAAAGUGGAAUUCCAUGUGUAGCGGUGAAAUGCGCAGAGAUAUGGAGGAACACCAGUGGCGAAGGCGACUUUCUGGUCUGUAACUGACGCUGAUGUGCGAAAGCGU
rnacentral:rRNA from 1 species